ensembl:rRNA 5S_rRNA 5S ribosomal RNA
UAUGGCCAUGCCACCUUGAACAUGUCCAUUCUCAUUGAUCUUUGAAGCUAAGUAGAAUGGGCCCAGCUAGUACUUGGGAGAUAUCAGAGGUCUGGGUGUUUCCAAAU